UUACAAAUUUUUACAAUUUUUCGCUAAAAAUUGCAAUUUUGUAAGCCCCGUUUCCAUAGCAAAAGACCUAUUAUUUGUCAUUAAGUUGAAUUUCUCCUGUAAAUAAUAAAUAAACGCUUAUGUAAGAUUAAAUAAAUUAUCAGUUAAUUUUUUAAUUGCAUUUUUUAAUGAAAAAACUGAUAAAAAUUUGAAAAUUUACCUUUUUUGUUUCCAUGGUUACCGCUCUUGGAAACAAGAUCCCCAAGAAUUUUAUUCCAUAUAUCGAAACUAUAACAUGUUGCCUCAAAGGACAAGUAUAAUGCCGUAUUGCAACAUGGAUGCGUAAGUUUGCUACACAUCCUUAAAAACUGUAUAAAUUGGUAUUUUAUAUACCUGUUGAAGUUUUCCAUGUAUCCAAGGAUCAAAUCAGGGUAACAUAAAAUAGUCUUUAUUUUUAAAUUCAAUCAUUAUAUCAAUUUGUAAUGAUAUUCAUAUAAAUUAUAGAUAUUUUUACCAAUAUAUUGCUAUUUAAGUGGAUAUUAAUGCCCAAAGUAGACCUAUAUCAUAGUUGAAAAAGAGCAAUUUUGAAGGUAAAAUUAGAAUAUCCUGUUACCAUGGCAACUAUGGUCUAUAGCAACAAUAUCAAUAUAUUAGUGUAUUAACUGGCACAGUUUGAAGCUUUUCUUUGCGUGCCAUGACCUAUAUUUGGCAUGGUUGAUAUUUACAGAGAAUCCAUGUUAAUGGUACCAAACUAUUUAUUUUACUUUCCUCCUGAAACAUUUUAACACACAGAACCUAAAACAUAUUCCAAAUAGUUGAGUAAAUUCAUCUUAUCAUUUGGCAUCUGUAGUACUUCGUUAACUUUAUAGAAAAACAUUCUUUCGACACCCGAGGCCUGGUUUUCGAAAGUAUCAUAAGAUAUGUCAUAAUAUCUUAGGACAUAGUUUAUGAUCAUCUUAUGACUAUCAUAUGAUAUAUCAUAGGAUGUAAAUCAAAGCUGUCUUACGAGAGUCAUUGCUAUGAUGCUCUUAUGACUGUCAUAAGUGAACAUUUAUUUAUUUUAAAUAAUGAUUAAAAAGUGAUAAAUAUAAAAAUGAAAAGUAUGAACAUUUUAGUUA
rnacentral:lncRNA from 1 species